AUACGAAAGGUGCAAGCGUUGUUCGGAUUUACUGGGCGUAAAGAGAGUGUAGGUUGUUUAUUAAGUCGGAUGUGAAAUCCCGGGGCUCAACCCCGGAACUGCAUUCGAUACUGAUAGGCUUGAGUUCGGGAGGGGUAAGCGGAAUUCCGUGUGUAGCAGUGAAAUGCGUAGAUAUACGGAGGAACACCUGAGGCGAAGGCGGCUUACUGGACCGAUACUGACACUGAGACUCGAAAGCGUGGGUAGCAAACAGGAUUAGAAACCCGAGUAGUCC
rnacentral:rRNA from 1 species